CAGCAGCCGCGGUAAUACGUAGGUGGCAAGCGCUGUCCGGAAUUAUUGGGCGUAAAGGGCUCGCAGGCGGUUUCUUAAGUCUGAUGUGAGAGCCCCCGGCUCAACCGGGGAGGGUCAUUGGAAACUGGGAAACUUGAGUGCAGAAGAGGAGAGUGGAAUUCCACGAGUAGCGGUGAAAUGCGUAGAGAUGUGGAGGAACACCAGUGGCGAAGGCGACUCCCUGGUCUGUAACUGACGCUGAGGAGCGAAAGCGUGGGGAGCGAACAGGAUUAGAUACCCCCGUAGUCCCUGUCUCUUAUAC
rnacentral:rRNA from 1 species